CAGCCGCCGCGGUAUACGAAGGGGGCUAGCGUUGUUCGGAAUUACUGGGCGUAAAGGGCGCGUAGGCGGCCAUUCAAGUUAGAUGUGAAAGCCCUGGGCUCAACCUAGGAAUUGCAUUUGAUACUGUUUGGCUUGAGUUCGGGAGAGGUGAGUGGAAUUCCCAGUGUAGAGGUGAAAUUCGUAGAGAUCGGGAGGAACAUCAGUGGCGAAGGCGGCCAUCUGGGACAACACUGACGCUGAGGCACGAAAGCGUGGGGAGCAAACAGGAUUAGAUACCCCGGUAGUCCCUGUCUCUUAUACA
rnacentral:rRNA from 1 species